rnacentral:rRNA from 1 species
AAGUCGAACGGUAGCAGGAAGAAGCUUGCUUCUUUGCUGACGAGUGGCUUACGGGUGAGUAAUGCUUGGGAAUUUGCCUUUGCGAGGGGGAUAACAGUUGGAAACGACUGCUAAUACCGCAUGAUGUCUACGGACCAAAGGGGGCUUUUAGCUCUCGCGCAAAGAGGAGCCCAAGUGAGAUUAGCUAGUUGGUGAGGUAAGGGCUCACCAAGGCGACGAUCUCUAGCUGUUCUGAGAGGAAGAUCAGCCACACUGGGACUGAGACACGGCCCAGACUCCUACGGGAGGCAGCAGUGGGGAAUAUUGCACAAUGGGGGAAACCCUGAUGCAGCCAUGCCGCGUGUGUGAAGAAGGCCUUCGGGUUGUAAAGCACUUUCAGUUGUGAGGAAAGGUUGGUAGUUAAUACCUGCCAGCUGUGACGUUAACAACAGAAGAAGCACCGGCUAACUCCGUGCCAGCAGCCGCGGUAAUACGGAGGGUGCGAGCGUUAAUCGGAAUUACUGGGCGUAAAGCGCACGCAGGCGGUUUGUUAAGCUAGAUGUGAAAGCCCCGGGCUCAACCUGGGAAUAGCAUUUAGAACUGGCAAGCUAGAGUCUUGGAGAGGGGGGCGGAAUUCCAGGUGUAGCGGUGAAAUGCGUAGAUAUCUGGAGGAACAUCAGUGGCGAAGGCGGCCCCCUGGCCAAAGACUGACGCUCAUGUGCGAAAGUGUGGGUAGCGAACAGGAUUAGAUACCCUGGUAGUCCACACCGUAAACGCUGUCUACUAGCUGUUUGUGCGAUUUAAGCGUGAGUAGC